UGGAAGAGGCAGAGACCCCCUUCAGGAGAGAAAAAACGCCGCCUUCACAAGCCGCCGGCUUCACGGCCGCCGGGAGCAGCGCACAGAAGACCCCAAAUUCAAAAAGAAAGGAGCUGAAGACUGGCUGGCACCCACUCAGAUCUUCUUGUUUGUGAAGACCCUUGUGGCAGCUGCAACAGAAGUGAGGGCAGCAGAGGAAGCCGAAUUCACUCAAGAAAGAAGACAGCAUUUAAGAAAGAAGAAUGAAUUUUUGUGUUACAAAGUGCAAUAAGCUUGGGGAUAGCACUGAGAUGAGCCAGACCCUUGAAGAUGUUUAUCUUUCAAGCUGAUUUAAACUUUUAGCAACUACUGAGUCUUUCAAGAUCUAAGGAAAAACCAGUAGGAUCAAAGCCUAUGUUCCAAUUUUUAAAAAUACUCUUAAAUAUCUAAAAGAGACUUUUCAUAGCACUAAGGCGUUGCUUAGAAAUUAUA